UCCUCGGUAGCUCAGUUGGUAGAGCGGUUGACUGUUAAUCAAUUGGUCGCUGGUUCGAGUCCGGCCCGAGGAGCCA
rnacentral:tRNA from 2 species